AACGAACGCUGGCGGCAUGCCUAACACAUGCAAGUCGAACGAGACCUUCGGGUCUAGUGGCUCACGGGUGCGUAACGCGUGGGAACCUGCCCUUAGGUUCGGAAUAACUCCCCGAAAGGGGUGCUAAUACCGGAUAAUGUCUUCGGACCAAAGAUUUAUCGCCUUUGGAUGGGCCCGCGUUGGAUUAGCUAGUUGGUAGGGUAAAAGCCUACCAAGGCGACGAUCCAUAGCUGGUCUGAGAGGAUGAUCAGCCACACUGGGACUGAGACACGGCCCAGACUCCUACGGGAGGCAGCAGUGGGGAAUAUUAGACAAUGGGCGAAAGCCUGAUCCAGCAAUGCCGCGUGAGUGAUGAAGGCCUUAGGGUUGUAAAGCUCUUUUACCCGGGAUGAUAAUGACAGUACCGGGAGAAUAAGCUCCGGCUAACUCCGUG
rnacentral:rRNA from 1 species